GACGAACGCUGGCGGCGUGCUUAACACAUGCAAGUCGAGCGGUAAGGCCCUUUCGGGGGUACACGAGCGGCGAACGGGUGAGUAACACGUGGGUGGCCUGCCCUCAGCUCUGGGAUAAGCCUGGGAAACCGGGUCUAAUACUGGAUAUGACUCCAUGACGCAUGUUGUGGGGUGGAAAGCCUUGUGCGGCUGAGGAUGGGCCCGCGGCCUAUCAGCUUGUUGGUGGGGUGANGGCCUACCAAGGCGACGACGGGUAGCCGGCCUGAGGGGGCGACCGGCCACACUGGGACUGAGACACGGCCCAGACUCCUACGGGAGGCAGCAGUGGGGAAUCUUGCGCAAUGGGCGAAAGCCUGACGCAGCGACGCCGCGUGAGGGAUGACGG
rnacentral:rRNA from 1 species